GCAUUAAUGGGGUAGUGGUAACCUGGGUCGUUGCCAUUAGCAUAUUGCAUGCAUAUUUCUAUCGACCCGCCGGGGGUUCGAUUCCCCCUUAAUGCA